GAUAAACGCUGGCGGCGUGCAUGAGACAUGCAAGUCGAACGAAGGAUCGGGCUUGCUCGAUCCUUAGUGGCGGACGGCUGAGUAACGCGUAGGUGACCUACCCCGAAGUGGGGAAUAACUGCCCGAAAGGGUGGCUAAUACCGCAUGUGGUCGCACGUUCAUUCGUGCGAGUAAAGCCGCAAGGCGCUUCGGGAGGGGCCUGCGUCCGAUUAGCUCGUUGGUGGGGUAAUGGCUUACCAAGGCGACGAUCGGUAGGUGGUCUGAGAGGACGAUCACCCAGACUGGGACUGAGACACGGCCCAGACUCCUACGGGAGGCAGCAGUCGGGAAUUUUGCUCAAUGGGGGAAACCCUGAAGCAGCAACGCCGCGUGAGGGAUGAAGGCCUUCGGGUUGUAAACCUCUUUUGUCAGGGACGAUGACGACGGUACCUGGCGAAUAAGCCACGGCUAACUACGUG
rnacentral:rRNA from 1 species